GUAAAAACAAGUUACUUUCAAUGCCAAUGCCACUCUCUGCGCCUUACCUCCGUCCCCGCUUCUUCUUCUUCGUCCUCUCCCUAAAACACAUCACCAAUCAGUCCAAAACCUUAAUCCUCUAUUCGUACACCACCGCCAUGUCAAGUCGAUCUGAACCCAUAAGCAAAUCUUCUUCCCAAAAUGCCCCCAUACCUGCCCCAAAUUACCCAAUACCCGUUUCCCCUCCUCUGCCCUUCAUCUCAAGGGACAUUGAGUUGAGAAGAGCCUUGACUGCAACUUCGAAAUCAAGCCUCUUCACUUUAUCCCGAUGCAAUGUGUUGUACGAAGACGAGUGGCUCGUUGCUGUCAACAAGCCUCAGGGAAUCUACUGUGAGACUGUGUUGUCUGCCAUUCCUGGCGUUCUCGAUGACUCGGCUGAGUUGGGUCGAGUUAGUGAAGUUUCAGGGAUCCAGAUAAGCAAGCGUGAGCUCCAUCUUGCCAAUCGACUUGAUCGCGACACCAGUGGUGUCAUGCUCAUCACCAAGUCCCACAAAGUAGCUUCUAAACUUGUCAAGGCAUUUUCUGAUCACGAGGUCCGGAAAUCAUAUAUUGCUAUGUGCAUUGGUUCAGCUCCAAAAUGGAGCAGGAUCACCAUCAAAUCAGGUCAUGGUAGAUCAAAGUUUGGAGCAUGGCGUGUAUAUGCCCAAUCUGAUGUAGGUCGGACAUUGCCAGGCGGAUCCAUGGUUAGAGACAUGGAAACUUCAUUUGAAGUACUAUCUGUAAAUGGACAAGGGAGAUUCAAGGAGCCAUCUGAAUUUAAUAAAGAUGAGGAAAAUAUUAUAGUAGUUGAAGAAGAAGCUACAAGAGAUGUUGAUCCGAGGAAGGAUGAGAUUUUGGUUAGAGCUUUUCCUCGGAGUGGAAGAACACAUCAAAUCCGUUUGCAUUGUCAGUAUCUUGGAAUUCCUAUUAGAGGAGAUGUAAAAUAUGAAGGUGUGUAUGAGUGGAAGGGGAAAAUAUUUGAUGGUCAUGAACUUCAUGCGGAGAGCUUGUCGUUUGCUCAUCCUGUUACUGGUCUCCCAAUCGUCAUUCAAGUCCCUCUGCCUGUUUGGGCGAGCCAGGCGUGCUAGCUAAGUGUGGUAGUGAUUAUUUUCCUUUUUCUGGGGUCAAUGUACCUCUUUUGAUGAAAGUAUUGCUAAACAGAAACUAUAUGGGCUGCUAACUCUUCUCUGCACUGGCCUAAACUUCGCCGUCUGCAGCGGCUGAAACAGUUCAGCAUACUUGCAUUAAUGCUUAUUCCAACAGAAUCUCUGUCGCAGAAGGGAAGGUGACUGAGGUUCAAGUAAAAUGGCCUUCUGCUAUUUCAGCCAUCUCUAACCCCAUCUUCAUCUAUCUUCAGCUUUUCGAAGGGAUGCUAAAUUCAACAUGGCCCCAUCAAUUGGUAUUGAGAGAAUAAUAGUAGGAAGAUUUCAUAUCUACAUUUCUGAAGCAAUUCUGAAGAUAGCAGACAGACAGCCUGACCGCAUCCUGGAUGAUCCAUUUGAUGUGAAUAUGAUGUGAAGAAAGAGAGGGAAAAAAGGCACUAGAAAACAGAAACAAAGAUGGAGAAGCCUUCAUUUGGUAAAACAGACUCGGCCGGUGAGCGAUUGUGACUAUGAAAAGGGUAUGGCUUUUGCUGUUUUUAUUGUAUUGUACUAAUAUCACAUGACAUGAAUCAAUUGUUUAAAAUCCUUACAUUAUCUUAUAGUGGGGGUGUUUGGAUUGGCUUAAUUAUUUGUUGUGCUUUUAAGCCUAUGAGGCUUUUAGUUUGAAUACACCUUAUAAGAUCAUAGUGCUUCAAGGUGAAAAAAUGUUUGAACAAUUCACUUGGUUUUUAGGCUCCUUAAGUUAAAACAUUAGUAAGAUGAUCAAAAAAGAAAAAUUUAGUUGCUCGUUUAACUAAAAUGUUAUCUAAAAGUAAUAUUUUUCCUUUUUAACAGAUAAUUGGGCCAAGCAUGUUGGUUGAAAGAGUUAUUAGUUUCUCACCGAAAAUCCUAAAAAUAAAUUGCUCUAGGAUUUAUUUUUUGAUCAAAGUCUGUGUCUUUUCUUCAUAAGGUGUGUCUAAACAGUUUGAAUUUUUUUUUUUUAUCGAAAUUAGCUUAGCAUCUUCAAUAGAGGACAAAACACAAAUCUUCAUAUAUCAUUUUAUGGUGAAUUUUACAUUACCAACGUCAUUGUAACUUGCACCACUUUUUGAUCAGUAAUUUCCUAAAUAAUAAGUUUUAAUGGUAAAAGCAAUGACGAAUAACUUGAACAUUGUUCAAGUUACCAUAGAUUUUCUUCAUAUACACAUUGAACAGAGAGCAAAUCGAGGUAUCUGGCUCUGUUGCUGGACCAGGAUGGGAAAAAGUCAGAAAGGCUUAUGCUUGGGAAUAGGUAAGAAACAAUGAGCCAUAUUUUACAAUGACAAUGCUCCAAAACAAUCCAAUGCGGCCAAAAACUCUCUUCAAGACAGUAUGGUAACUGGAAAAAAAAAACAGGGGACGGGAAAUUGGGGCCACAAGACAACACUACAUUGGACAAGUGUUGUUAACCAAUAUUAUUUAACUCUUGUAUCUGGAUGCUGUACUAUUUGGACAAUGUAAAGACUGGUUUCUGGUAAGUGGAAAGCUAUUAGCUGCUUGUUUUGUUUUC